UACGAAGGGAGCUAGCGUUGUUCGGAAUCACUGGGCGUAAAGCGCACGUAGGCGGAUUUGUCAGUCAGGGGUGAAAUCCCGGGGCUCAACCUCGGAACUGCCUUUGAUACAGCAAGCCUUGAGUUCGAGAGAGGUGGGUGGAAUUCCUAGUGUAGAGGUGAAAUUCGUAGAUAUUAGGAAGAACACCUAUGGCGAAGGCAGCUCUCUGGGACGGUACUGACGCUGAGACGCGAAAGCGUGGGGAGCGAACAGG
rnacentral:rRNA from 1 species